rfam:Danio rerio chromosome 14, GRCz11 reference primary assembly.
GUCAGCAGCUAGCUCUCUGCAACUCCUACAUGGUUGCCCACUGAAGCAAAGCAGGGCUGCGCCCGGUCAGUACCUGGAUGGUAGACAUGGGAAAGCUAGGUUGCUGCCGGCA